GAUCUCUCCACAUGGAAAAAAAAAAAAAAUUCUUUAUACACAAUGUUGUCCACGUUUGUAUAAUUGCCAAAGAUAGAUAUAUUUAGAUGCAGGUCUUUUGAGAGAUAGAUAUUGAGAGCGAAUGGACUAUGUUUAAAUUGGCACUGCCGACUCCAGAAUAUAAAAGUUCACUCCAAAUUUCAAGCUUCAUUGGAAAACUCGAAAGCUUCAAUUGAGACUGAAGCUAGUGACAUUGGCUGUUCUACAC